AGACGUCUAUAUUAGAUACCCGGGUAGUCCCAGCCGUAAACUAUGCUCGCUAGGUGUCAGGCAUGGCGCGACCGUGUCUGGUGCCGCAGGGAAGCCGUGAAGCGAGCCACCUGGGAAGUACGGCCGCAAGGCUGAAACUUAAAGGAAUUGGCGGGGGAGCACAACAACGGGUGGAGCCUGCGGUUUAAUUGGACUCGACGCCGGACAACUCACCGGGGACGACAGCAAUAUGUAGGCCAGGCUGAAGACCUUGCCUGAAUCGCUG
rnacentral:rRNA from 1 species